GUAAUGGAACAAAACUUCAGUUACAUCUGUAAUAGAAUCUGUUGGAUUGUAUUACAGAUGUAACUGAAGUUUUGUUCCAUUACAC